UCAAAUUCUAAGGUCAAGUUCAAGUUCUAAGUUCAAGUUCAAGUUCAAAUUCAAAGUUCAAGUUCAAGUUCUAAGUUCAAGUUCUAAGUUGAUGACAUUCAAACAUUCAUCAUCUAAAUUCAUGACAUUCAAACAUUCAUCAUCUACUCAUAACACUUCCAUUACUAAUUUCUAACUUCAAAUUAUUAACACUUUACUAACUAGUCCUAAAAUCAAAUCCAAAAAUAUCCCAAUUCAACCUCAAAUUACGUAUUCUCAAGUUUAAACUAGUCCUAAAAUACAAAAAUGCU
rnacentral:lncRNA from 1 species